UUCUAGAUUAUUCCCUCUUCUUCUUCAAUUUAUCAAGAAGAAUUCGAAAUCACAUGUAACAAACAGAAAAUAGAAUUACAUUAGAUCAGAUAAAGGAUAUUUUGAAAUCCAGUUAGCCAGAGAUGAAGGAGGAAGCCCUCCUGCUCCCAGCUAUAGCUAGAUAGGAAAUAUAUCCCCGGCACAAUUUUUCCCCUCGAAUGCUUCCACUCGGCUCGGCACUGUUGCUCUUUUCUUUCUUUUUUUUUUCGCUGCCUCUUGGCCCCUUUUCAACGAGCGAUAAAAGACUGGCGGAUGGAGGAACGACAAGGGAAAACGAUGCGACCUACCCGCACGCCAUUUACCAACCACCCCCGCACAAAGGAACACCAGAACCGGGAGCAUUAUUUGGCAUAACAAUGCUGAUUGUCCGAAGUAUGCCGUGCAAAAUGCCGGCCAAGUGAAAAAAACAUCGGGAAUGGGUUAACCGUUGGGGAGGAGGACGCGAGCUAUUGAUACUGAAACGCGUCUUCGACACGGCAUUAUUAAACGGCGACCUGUUUCACAAUGGGAUUCGUAAUGGGUGUAUUAUUCAUCGGGACAACGAUCGAGCUUCCUUUUCAUUCGAACAAAGAACGUUGAAUUAAAAGUAGCGCUCGUUAUCGUUCGAGAUUAAUUAAACGCUUGUUAUUCGCCGUGCGAUGUACAUGUGUGCCAUGUACAUUGUGCAUGAACGAGCGAUUAGACACUGUACGAAAGGUAGGAAAAUUUUUUGAAGGAAGUUAAUUGCUGACAAAGGACGUUGAGUUGAAAAUAGCAGUCGUUUUUGUAGAAACGAGAUUAAUUAGACGCUUGUUUCAUGCCGUGAAUAUUUCGUAAUUCGUGAACGAGAUACUGUGAAAUAUUCUUUUAGAAAUGAACGUGUUCGUCGUAAAAGUAAAAUUUACCUUGAAACUCGAUUAAAUUCGAUUAAAAUUAGAAAAAAUUUCAACCGUUGUAACUUCGAAGAUAGCGACUUCCGGUUGAUAAAUGAUAAAGGCCAUUAGAAGCGCGAAAUCUUCCCCUUUAAAAUGCUUUUUUAUUUGUCUCGCUACGACUUCCGGUUCCGGAGAUAUCAUCGUGUAAAGAGAAAGUAAUUUUUAAUCGUUUACCUUAAAUUUGAUUAAAUCCUAUCGAAAUUAGGAAAAAUUUGAAUCGCUAUAAUUCCGGAGAAAAUAACUUCCGGUUGAUAAAUGAAAGAUCAUUAGAAGCGCUAAACCUUCCUCUUUAUAAUACUUUUUCAUUCGUUAUGCUACAACUUCCGGUUCCCGAGAUAUCAUCGUGUAAAGAAAAGGUAAUUUUUAAUCGUUUAUUAUCUUACGCCUUACUCGCUUACUCACAUUUAUCUCAAAUUCCAGGUAAAUGCAGCAGAUACGAUUGCAGGAAAAACGUAUACAAUUCCAAAAAGAAAUAUCGAUCACUGGACUCGUGCAUAAUUCCUACUACAAUUUUAAACGCUAUGGACACUUUGAGCGCUCAUAUCUCGGCAACCGAUUGAGAUAUCGAAAUGAAUCAAAAAGUAAAUUCAAUGGCGUGGUUUCCUCUAAAUUCUCGAAUUUUGCGAAUUUUCGGUGUUGAUGACCGUUUAAUUGAAACGUGCGGAAGCGGCGUUUACCCGUCGCUGCUCGAGCAUCGACUGAUUCAAGUUUUUUUUUUUUUUUUUCAUUUUUAUCGCGCGCUCCUGACACUUUCCAGUUUUUCAAGUUUUAUCGGAUGUUGACCGGAUUAAAUUCAUAAAUGGCUCGAACUG